rnacentral:rRNA from 1 species
CCAGACUCCUACGGGAGGCAGCAGUGGGGGAUAUUGCACAAUGGGGGGAACCCUGAUGCAGCGACGCCGCGUGGGUGAAGAAGUAUUUCGGUAUGUAAAGCCCUAUCGGCAGGGAAGAAAUUGGACGGUACCUGACUAAGAAGCCCCGGCUAACUACGUGCCAGCAGCCGCGGUAAUACGUAGGGGGCAAGCGUUAUCCGGAUUUACUGGGUGUAAAGGGCGUGUAGCCGGGUUGACAAGUCAGAUGUGAAAUCCUGCGGCUUAACCGCAGAACUGCAUUUGAAACUGUUGAUCUUGAGUACUGGAGAGGCAGACGGAAUUCCUAGUGUAGCGGUGAAAUGCGUAGAUAUUAGGAGGAACACCAGUGGCGAAGGCGGUCUGCUGGACAGCAACUGACGGUGAGGCGCGAAAGCGUGGGGAGCAAACAGGAUUAGAUACCCUAGUACA